GCCUUCGUGGUGUAGUGGUCAGCACGCUCGGCGCGUAUUCUAGAGGUCCGUGGUUCGAGUCCCGGCCAGGGCA
rnacentral:tRNA from 1 species